rnacentral:rRNA from 1 species
GCGCCAUUGGAUGAGCCUGCACUUGAUUAGUUUGUUGGUGGGGUAAUGGCCUACCAAGACAAUGAUCAAUAGCUGAUUUGAGAGGAUGAUCAGCCACAUUGGGACUGAGACACGGCCCAAACUCCUACGGGAGGCAGCAGUAGGGAAUCUUGCACAAUGAGGGAAACCCUGAUGCAGCGAUGCCGCGUGAGUGAAGAAGGCCUUUGGGUUGUAAAGCUCUUUCGU